rnacentral:rRNA from 1 species
UACGUAGGGCGCAAGCGUUAUCCGGAAUUAUUGGGCGUAAAGAGCUCGUAGGCGGUUUGUCGCGUCUGCCGUGAAAGUCCGGGGCUCAACUCCGGAUCUGCGGUGGGUACGGGCAGACUAGAGUGAUGUAGGGGAGACUGGAAUUCCUGGUGUAGCGGUGAAAUGCGCAGAUAUCUAAGGGAACGCCUGUGGCGAAAGCGGGUGACUGGGCCUGUCCUGACGCUGAGACGCGAAAGCGUAGGGAUCAAACAGG